rnacentral:rRNA from 1 species
GACGGGGGCCCGCACAAGCAGCGGAGCGUGUGGUUUAAUUCGAGGCUACACGAAGAACCUUACCUGGGGUUUGACAUAGCGGUGGUAGGGAACCGAAAGGGGACCGACCUUCGGGAGCCGUUACAGGUGCUGCAUGGCUGUCGUCAGCUCGUGUCGUGAGAUGUUGGGUUAAGUCCCGCAACGAGCGCAACCCUUAUCCUGUGUUGCCAGCAAGUAAAGUUGGGGACUCGCAGGAGACUGCCGGGGUCAACUCGGAGGAAGGUGGGGAUGAGGUCAAGUCAUCAUGCCCCUUAUGCCCAGGGCUGCAAACACGCUACAAUGGCCGGUACAGAGGGCUGCAAUCCCGCGAGGGUGAGCGAAUCCCACAAAGCCGGCCUCAGUUCAGAUUGCAGGCUGCAACUCGCCUGCAUGAAGCUGGAGUUGCUAGUAAACGCGCGUCAGCUAUAGUGCGUUGAAUACGUUCUCGGGCCUU